CUUAUCAAGAGAGGCGGAGGGAAUAGGCCCUACGAUGCCCGGCAACCUAUGCGCAUGGCAAAGCUAUCGCAAAAGGUGCCACAUCCUACGGAGGAGCAACGGCUCUUUCGAAAGAUGAGG
rnacentral:ncRNA from 1 species